rnacentral:rRNA from 1 species
AACGAACGCUGGCGGCAUGCCUAACACAUGCAAGUCGAACGAGACCGUCGGGCCUUGGGGCGGACGGGGGCGUAACGCGGGGGAAGCUGCCCGUAAGUUACGAAUAACUCACCGAAGGGGAACCUAAUACCGGAGAAGGUCUUCGGACCAACGAUGUAUGGCGUUUGGGUGGGGCCGCGUUGGUUUAGCGAGUUGGUAGGGGAAAAGCCUACCAAGGCGACGAUCCAUAGCUGGUCUGGGAGGAGGCUAAGCUACACUGGGACUGCGACACGGACUAGAACGGUACGGAGGGGAGCAGUGUAGAACAUUGGACGAGGGGCGCAAGUCUGAUACCGCCACGCGGCGUGAGAGAUGCAUGGCUUAGUGUUGUAAAGCCCUUUUACCCGGGAUGAGAAUGACGGUACCGGGUGAAGAAGCACCGGCUAACUCCGUG